rnacentral:rRNA from 1 species
CUGGCUCAGGACGAACGCUGGCGGCGUGCUUAACACAUGCAAGUCAAGGAGAACGUCUACUUCGGUGGAGCUAGUAAACUGGCGGACGGGUGAGUAACGCGUAGGUAACCUGCCUAUAAGCCCUGGAUAACAUUGCUAACGCGGUGCUAAUACGGGAUGUGGCAUUAUAUAUUAUGUAAAUAAUGUUAAAGCGGGCCUCUCGAAGAAGCUCGUACUUAUAGAUGGACCUGCGUCUCAUUAGCUAGUUGGUGAGGUAACGGCUCACCAAGGCGACGAUGGGUAGCCGGCCUGAGAGGGCGAUCGGCCACACUGGGACUGAGAUACGGCCCAGACUCCUACGGGAGGCAGCAGUGAGGAAUCUUGCGCAAUGGGCGAAAGCCUGACGCAGCAACGCCGCGUGUGGGAAGAAGCUUUUCGGAGUGUAAACCACUGUUAGGAGGGACGAAGGUUAGAUAUUCGAACAGGGUAUUUGAUUGACGGUACCUCCAGAGGAAGCCCCGGCUAACUCCGUGCCAGCAGCCGCGGUAACACGGGGGGGGCGAGCGUUGUCCGGAAUCAUUGGGCGUAAAGGGCGCGUAGGCGGGAUAAUCAGUCUGUGGUGGAAGCUUGAGGCUUAACCUCAAGUUUGCCUUGGAUACUGUUAUUCUUGAGUACGGGAGAGGGAAGUGGAAUUCCUGGUGUAGCGGUGAAAUGCGUAGAUAUCAGGAAGAACACCGGUGGCGAAGGCGGCUUCCUGGCCCGAAACUGACGCUGAGGCGCGAAAGCGUGGGUAGCGAACAGGAUUAGAUACCCUGGUAGUCCACGCAGUAAACGAUGGGCACUAGGUGUUGGGACUAUACGUUUCAGCGCCGGAGCUAACGCAUUAAGUGCCCCGCCUGGGGAGUACGACCGCAAGGUUGAAACUCAAAGGAAUUGACGGGGGCCCGCACAAGCGGUGGAGCAUGUGGUUUAAUUCGAUGCAACGCGAAGAACCUUACCUGGGCUUGAACUGCUAAUGACAGAUUGUGAAAGCAAUUUUUCUUUCGGGACAUUAGUAGAGGUGCUGCAUGGCUGUCGUCAGCUCGCGUCGUGAGAUGUUGGGUUAAGUCCCGCAACGAGCGCAACCCUUGCCCUUAGUUGCCAUCAGUUAAAGCUGGGAACUCUAAGGGGACUGCCACGGCGAACGUGGAGGAAGGUGGGGAUGACGUCAAGUCCUCAUGGCCCUUACGUCCAGGGCUACACACGUGCUACAAUGGUCGGUACAACGGGCAGCUAGCCAGUGAUGGUACGCGAAUCCCUUAAAACCGAUCUCAGUUCGGAUUAAAGUCUGCAACUCGACUUUAUGAAGUUGGAAUCGCUAGUAAUCGCGGAUCAGCAUGCCGCGGUGAUACGUUCCCGGGCCUUGUACACACCGCCCGUCACGCCAUGGAAGUCGGUAGUGCCCGAAGCCGGUGGCCCAAUCCGCCGUUAGGCGGAAGGGAGCCGUCGAAGGUG